rnacentral:rRNA from 1 species
AGUGAACGCUGGCGGUAGGCCUAACACAUGCAAGCCGAACGGCAGCACAGUAAGAGCCUGCUCUUACGGGUGGCGAGUGGCGGACGGGUGAGGAAUACAUCGGAAUCUACUUUUUCGUGGGGGAUAACGUAGGGAAACUUACGCUAAUACCGCAUACGACCUACGGGUGAAAGCAGGGGAUCUUCGGACCUUGCGCGAUUGAAUGAGCCGAUGUCGGAUUAGCUAGUUGGCGGGGUAAAGGCCCACCAAGGCGACGAUCCGUAGCUGGUCUGAGAGGAUGAUCAGCCACACUGGAACUGAGACACGGUCCAGACUCCUACGGGAGGCAGCAGUGGGGAAUAUUGGACAAUGGGCGCAAGCCUGAUCCAGCCAUACCGCGUGGGUGAAGAAGGCCUUCGGGUUGUAAAGCCCUUUUGUUGGGAAAGAAAAGCAGCAGGUUAAUACCCCGCUGUUCUGACGGUACCCAAAGAAUAAGCACCGGCUAACUUCGUG